UAUCAGAAGUGCGAAUGCUGACAUAAGUAACGAUAAAGCGGGUGAAAAGCCCGCUCGCCGGAAGACCAAGGGUUCCUGUCCAACGUUAAUCGGGGCAGGGUGAGUCGACCCCUAAGGCGAGGCCGAAAGGCGUAGUCGAUGGGAAACGGGUUAAUAUUCCCGUACUUGGUGUUACUGCGAAGGGGGGACGGAGAAGGCUAUGUUGGCCGGGCGACGGUUGUCCCGGUUUAAGCGUGUAGGUGUGUGUUCCAGGUAAAUCCGGUUCACUUUAACACUGAGGCGUGAUGACGAGGCACCACGGUGCUGAAGCAACAAAUGCCCUGCUUCCAGGAAAAGCCUCUAAGCAUCAGGUAACAUCAAAUCGUACCCCAAACCGACACAGGUGGUCAGGUAGAGAAUACCAAGGCGCUUGAGAGAACUCGGGUGAAGGAACUAGGCAAAAUGGUGCCGUAACUUCGGGAGAAGGCACGCUGACACGUAGGUGAAGUGAUUUACUCAUGGAGCUGAAGUCAGUCGAAGAUACCAGCUGGCUGCAACUGUUUAUUAAAAACACAGCACUGUGCAAACACGAAAGUGGACGUAUACGGUGUGACGCCUGCCCGGUGCCGGAAGGUUAAUUGAUGGGGUCAGCGCAAGCGAAGCUCCUGAUCGAAGCCCCGGUAAACGGCGGCCGUAACUAUAACGGUCCUAAGGUAGCGAAAUUCCUUGUCGGGUAAGUUCCGACCUGCACGAAUGGCGUAAUGAUGGCCAGGCUGUCUCCACCCGAGACUCAGUGAAAUUGAACUCGCUGUGAAGAUGCAGUGUACCCGCGGCAAGACGGAAAGACCCCGUGAACCUUUACUAUAGCUUGACACUGAACAUUGAGCCUUGAUGUGUAGGAUAGGUGGGAGGCUUUGAAGCGUGGACGCCAGUCUGCGUGGAGCCGACCUUGAAAUACCACCCUUUAAUGUUUGAUGUUCUAACGUGGACCCGUAAUCCGGGUUGCGGACAGUGUCUGGUGGGUAGUUUGACUGGGGCGGUCUCCUCCUAAAGAGUAACGGAGGAGCACGAAGGUUGGCUAAUCCUGGUCGGACAUCAGGAGGUUAGUGCAAUGGCAUAAGCCAGCUUGACUGCGAGCGUGACGGCGCGAGCAGGUGCGAAAGCAGGUCAUAGUGAUCCGGUGGUUCUGAAUGGAAGGGCCAUCGCUCAACGGAUAAAAGGUACUCCGGGGAUAACAGGCUGAUACCGCCCAAGAGUUCAUAUCGACGGCGGUGUUUGGCACCUCGAUGUCGGCUCAUCACAUCCUGGGGCUGAAGUAGGUCCCAAGGGUAUGGCUGUUCGCCAUUUAAAGUGGUACGCGAGCUGGGUUUAGAACGUCGUGAGACAGUUCGGUCCCUAUCUGCCGUGGGCGCUGGAAGACUGAGGGGGGCUGCUCCUAGUACGAGAGGACCGGAGUGGACGCAUCACUGGUGUUCGGGUUGUCAUGCCAAUGGCACUGCCCGGUAGCUAAAUGCGGAAAAGAUAAGUGCUGAAAGCAUCUAAGCACGAAACUUGCCCCGAGAUGAGUCUUCCCUGAGACCUUGAGUCUCCUGAAGGAACGUUAAAGACGAUGACGUUGAUAGGCCGGGUGUGUAAGCGCAGCGAUGCGUUGAGCUAACCG
rnacentral:rRNA from 1 species